CACUCUCUGGCAAUAGUCCUUAUGAGAGGACUCAAGCCAACAUAUGCAACUUAAACCUUGAGAGCUGAUCCAUGGAGUUGUGGGUGCAAAGUGAAGAUCAAGCAUAAACAAGACAUUACAAUGGAAUCCAAGUAAAAACUGUUUCAGCCUGGAAGAGGAAUACCAGAGAAUUUUGGGAAAUUCACGCAGGUCUAAGAUUCCAUCGAGCCUCAGG
rnacentral:lncRNA from 1 species